rnacentral:lncRNA from 1 species
CAGGGUGUCUGAGUCUCUUCACGGGAAGGACAGAGCUUGUGAAAUACAGCUGGCGCUUCUCGGGGUCUGGCCGGCCAGUCCGGUGAAUGAGCUGGAGUUGCAGCAGAGAUUCCAGGACAACAGGCAAACUCCAGAGGAGCUUCUCCUCUGAUGGGGUCUCAGUGUCAGGGCAAGACAGAGACCCUGCCUGGGAAGGAAGACCUCGGGGCCGAUGGAGGAGGCAGAGAUUUCCGGAAGGGAACAUGCAGUAAGAACCACAACAGGAGCUUGUGCCAAUUGCUAAGUGAGUGCUGAGCCAGAGAUUAGCUACCAUUGAGAAACCGGGGAAGGCUUCAGGGAAGAGGAGCCAAGUGGCCUGGACAGAUGCCAUUCAGAGAGACAUGUUCAUCUGGGCUGAGGCCAGGGCAAAGAGUUCCUAUCUGAGAUUAUGGGAGGAGGCAGGAACACUAGGAAGCUGGGAGUCAGAGGGGUGGACAAACAGAAGCCCACAGGGCCACAGCUCUGCAGGAGCACAAGCAGACUCCUAGCCUGGAGGAGCCAGGGCCAGAGACUGGAGACAGUGUCCCUGAGCCUAGAGCCCAGACCAGGUGCUGGGGAGCCAUUGGCUGGUUUUGAGAAUGUCUCCGUAUGGCUAAUUACCAGCAACAAUGUGAGAAAACUCAAGGCCAAAAUGACCAUUUGGCAAGAAGUAAUCGAGACCUUUGCCAGAGCAGAGGUACAGCCUGGCAAGGUCCAUCCCUAAUGAAGGAACAGGCCUGUGCCUCCACCUGGACCAAGCUCCAAGCCCUCCCUGGAACUCAAAUCUGGAACAGAAUGAAAUGAAAAGGACGGCCGGGUAGGAUUCCCACCUCUCCAGCAUUCUGUCUGAGUAAACCAUUCCAGCAUUAGACCAUUCUUCUCUAUCCUGCUUCUUGUGCCUGGAAGUGGCCCAGAUUCCCACCUUUUUCCAAGCCUGGCUCUUCAGACUUCUACCAAUUCUGUAAAAAUCUGAUAUCCUUCAAAUAAGUUCUUUUUGGCCAGAAAAAACUAGACUGCUUGCAACCAAGAAACCCUGACUAAUAGACCAGCCUUGGGGACACACUUCCACGCUCUGUGUGUUGGCUUUUUUCUUUUUCCCUCUUGACUUCCUCCCCAUUGAGACCUGGCCUUGGCAGCCCCAAGACCAGAGAGAAGAAACCCAGGAUUGGGCUCUCAUUGUGCCCAUUGCUCAACAGUCACUGAGGCCUGGCAGGUGAAGUCAUGUGAAAGGACAGCAGCCCC